AAGGUACACCUAAGAAAAGCUGGAGAGAGCAUUGCUGGGAUGGUUGACCUGCAUUGGCCACACCACAGCAGGUUAUGUCCAGUAUAUGAACCGGGGAAGUUACCCAGAAGAAAUAAAUUUGGAGCCAAGAAAUACUAACAUGGAGGGCAGUCUACCUACAGAGAACAGAGUUCUGUAUUGCCUCAAGCUUUCCUGUUUACAAAUAUAUGUCACACAAAAUACCAUUCUCUACUCAAUUGGUCACAUUCCACUGGGAAAACAUGGGAUGGUUUCCUCUGCUAAGACCAGUGAAAGCACAGGAGAAAGGAAGCUCACCUGGGAAGAUUGUCUCUUAUGAGCACAAAGAGCAUCUGUGCAGGUGUCUCCAGCUGAUGUGUUUCUGCCUAACAACAGAAGUUCCUGGGACCUUGCAUUUUGUACUUCUUUCAUUGAAUUUCUAUUAUCCAACUGUUUAAGAUUAUAAAGUUUCUUAUGUAUGAAAUCCAAGAUGUUGCCUCACAAAUUUUAAAAGCAAAUAUAUUCAUGCAAGUAACCUGAUCACAUGAAAUUUAGGUAAGAACAAAGAAUACACUUUAUA